rnacentral:rRNA from 1 species
UACGUAGGUGGCGAGCGUUGUCCGGAUUUAUUGGGUUAAAGGGUGCGUAGGCGGCUUUGUAAGUCAGUGGUGAAAUACUCCAGCUUAACUGGAGGGGUGCCAUUGAUACUGCGGAGCUUGAGUACAGAUGAGGUAGGCGGAAUUGACGGUGUAGCGGUGAAAUGCGUAGAUAUCGGAAGGAACACCGAUGGCGAAAGCAGCGUGCUGGACCUUUUCUGACGCUGAGGCGCGAAAGCCAGGGGAGCAAACGGG